GAUCCACACUGACUAACACACGGACGCACACCCAGAUACACAGAUAAUCAAUACCAUUCCAUAUAGACGCACACUCACAGAUAAACUCAUACAUACAAACACUCAUGGAUACACACAGACGCAGAUCCAUACUCCCGGAUACAUUCACAGAUUUUCAAUGACACACACAUACAAACACUCACAGACAUUCACAUACACACAGAUCUCAGGGCACCACUCUGCACUGCUGGUCAGUGGGUUAGCAGCCAGUAGCUCAUUUAAAAGACUCUCAGUUGCCAGGUGUCCAGUGUCUAACCAGACAGUCUGGAAAUUGAGUUGCCGGCAGUUUAUCUCCUACACCACGGGAGGAAAGAAGUUGCUUGGGGACAACACAUGGACCAUGGGCCAGUGGUUUGAGAUCCCUGUUCUAUAUAAUGCAGUAAAAGGGGGGACAUUUUCCACCUAUGGUUUCUCUUUAAUCAGCCAUUACCCCUUUCUCUCCACUCACUAUCCGGCUCCACUCCUAUACGUUUGUGAUUUCGUGGAGCCUAAUGUUAGCGGUGGGAGAGGGAAGGCUGCCUAAUAGUGAUGGGAGAGGGAGGACUUGAUGCUUAAUAGUGCCGAGAGAAGGAGGGGGUGAUGGAAUAGGGAGGUUCAAUGUCUAAUGGUGAUGGGAAGGAGAGUAAUGCCUUGUGGUGAUGGGAGAGAGAUGGGAUGCUGAUGAAUGAAUGGGAGAGGAAAUGAGCUGUGUUUAAUGGUGAUGGGAGAACAAGGAGGAUACCACCAUCCUCCUCCAUCAUCACUUAGCACCACUCCCUUCCUCUCCCAUAUCCAUUAUGUGUCACCCUCCAACUCUCUUACAUCACAAUCAGGUGUCACACCCUCCCACUCCCAUCACCAUGAGGCAUCCAUCAGCCCCUCCCUUUCCCAUCUCCAUUAGAUUCACCCCUAUAUCUCCUAUCUAUCAUUUGCGGGAUACUAAUAAAAUAAAGAAACUAAUCCUGGUGGUGGAAGAUGAAGGGGGUUACCUUAUGGUGAUGGGAGAAGGAAUUUAUGGCUAAUAAUCACGGGAGAAGGAGGGGGCUGGUAUCUUAUGGCGGUGAGAGAAGAAGAGGUUUAUUCCAAAUGGUGAUAGGAGAGGGAUUAUGCCUAAUGGUGGUGCUAGAGGGAGGGGAUGAUACCUAGUUAUAGUCAGCUAGGGCCCUCCUUUUUGUAUCAUCCACUCCCUCUUCCAUCACCAUUAGUCACCACCUCCUCUUUCUCCCAUCACGAUCAAGCAUCACCCCCUCUCUCUCCUAUCAACAUUAGGCAUGACCCUACACCUCUCUCACCACUAUUUGGCAACCAUAACUCCUUUCCAUUGCCACCACAACUCGACAUCACCCCCCUCCAUCUUCCAUCUUCCAGCAGAGGAGAGAGUGAGGCUCAGGGAGAAUGCUGUAGAUAGGAAUAGGAAAUGGUUUACUAGAGGUUUUAAAGGGGGGAGGGUGAUUCCUAAUGGUGAUGGGAGUGGGAGGGAAUAUAAUUCCUAAUAGUGAGGGUAGUGGUAGGCGAGAUGCGCUAUGGUGGUAGAAGAGGGGUGAUUCCUAAUGGUGAUGGAAGUGGGAGGGAAUAUAAUUCCUAAUAGUGAGGGUAGUGGUAAGCGAGAUGCGCUAUGGUGGUGGGAGAGAGAUGAUUGCUAAUGGUGGUGGCGGUGAUGCCUAGUGAUGGAGUGAGAAGGAGGUGGUGUGAUGCCCAGAGGUGAUGGGAGAGGGUGAUGCCAAGUGGUGUCGGAAGAGGGAGGAGGAUGAUUCCUCAUGGUGGUGUUUACAUCAGCACGAGGCAUCAUCCCUUCCCUCGCUCAUCACCAUAAGGCAGCACCCUGCUAACUCCUAUCACCAUUAGACAUCACCACUCUCCAUUCUCCAUUAGGCAUCACAACAAUCCCACCGCCAUUGGGAUUUACCACUUUCCCAACACUAAUAUUAGGAUAGCUUCUCUCUGUCCUACAAUUAGCAGCAUGAGCAGCCAUUCCCACCUCCUCUUACCAUCUAUGUAACCAUAUAGCAGUCUCCAGCACAGCCUCACGGCUGGCAUCUUCCAAGCUCAAGCGGGCUUUUGUUUGCUCUCCCUGUUACCUGCUGGAUAGCGAGUGCACGGGUGGUUCAGAUGGGGUUAGCUGUCGCGCUGUGCGAACCUGCAGCCAGUCCUGCAAGCUGUCACCAGUGGAUCCAGGGGGAGGCACCAGGACAAAUGCCUCCCCCCACUCUCGAGAAGCCAUUGAGCGAUUUGUUGGCUAGGAGGAUCAUGGCAAGUGCCUCCCCCAAGAUGCCAGUGACAGUUAUUGUCUGGCCAUUAGUAGGGGCUGACAGAAGGAACCUCCUCACGGAGUGGGGGACGUCUCUUCAGUCAGUUCUGGCUGACAGCCAGGCAGUCCGUGGCAUCUUGGGGGGCACCUGCCAAAGUCCAUCUUACCCAACAAAUCGUACAAUCCCACAGAUAUCCCAAAGGUAGGAAUCACGGAGCAGUCCUGGAGGAUCACAUGGUCACAAGAGCAGCACCAACAACCAAGACAUUUUUUUUUUGUUUAUCUUUUUUGUGCUGUAAAAGUGAGACCCAGUAUUGUAGAUUUUGGCAACAUUAGUUAUCCCUUAUUGUUACUGGGUAUCUGGGUGUCACAUUCAUCCCCUCCAAAGCUGGGGCGUGUGGGUGCUUUUUAAAGGGGCAUGCUAACCAUCAUGGCCAUGACAGCUCAAUAUUGUAGUUAUUGUGGAAAGAGUCUAUAGCUGCCACCCCCCAUGUUUUUCUCUUGUCAUGAGCUGUAUGAUAGGCACUCCCUCACUCCAUAGACUAGUCUCUUCAGACACAUUUACUAUGCGGAAUUUACACUUGUAGUAAUCAAUAUCCAGUCUAUAUGUAUGUAAACAGGUUAUUGAUCCAAGAAGAAAUCUGAUUGCCAUUACCGAGUAAAGAAGACUUUUCCCCCCUUUAUUUUGUUUAAUUGAAAAUGGCUACAAAUUGAUUUUAUGCCUUCCUUUGGACCAACAGCAUAAAAGAAUGGGUUUCAAGGUUGAAUUUAAUGGACUUUAGUCUUUUUUCAACCUAGACUACUAUGUAACUAUACAAGCUGAAUGGCAAUCAAUUGCUCAGAGCGCUGGGCUAACCAACCCUCUGGUUAUAGUGUUUAGAUAGCUCCUUGAAUUUUAUGUAUAUAAAUCAAGUAAUUGAACAGUGAAUAUAAAUAAAAAUCUCACUCACUGACGCAGAUACACAAUUAGUCCACAAACUUAGGCCAAUGCGUCCUCUGCUCCCUCCCAACCUCUUCCACCAGAUGUUUUGUUUAGAUGGUAAAAAGGUAGUACAUUUACAGGCAGGUGUUGCUGAUAGGAAUAAUGCUGCUUGUUUUACUUCCAAGAGUUCUUCCUUAUUUGUGAGAAGUCCAGGUACUGUAACCCUGCUCUCCUGAUGCUGAGAGUCAAUGAGAGCUCUAGAAGAGAAGGCAAUGUCCAUGCCUCUCUCCUUGGGUGUCCAGGAUCAGAUGUCCCUAUGGAAAGUGAACAGGUGACAUCAGAAAGCCCUUCUAUGAGAAGAUAGGGCACAUCUGAGGCGUAGAAUCAGAAGGGGCACUUUUUGCAAUUGCAACAAGAUCUUGGCAUGCCCAGUUGUUCUUUACAGCUUGUCCAGACUGUCAUCAGCCAAGGAGAGGGGAAGCUGGAAAACUGUUAUCAUUCCAGAGAUACUACACAGCUUUUUCUCAAGUCUAGAUUUAUGGGUUUUUUUCAUGAACAUUUUUCAGUCAAACUUCCCCAGAAAACUGAUUUUUUUUACUUUUACCCAAACUAUCCUCUCCUCACCAUCUUUACUUUUAAUAUUGUUUAAAAUUGCAAAUGAACAACUUAAAAAACAAGCUAUGAACAUCUCAGUAGUCCUCUCCACUGCCAACAGUUUGGGUUAUUAUUUUUUUGCAACAAAAAUUGGUGAGACGCUGACCAAAGUACUGCUAUGGAUGAGCCUCUAUUGGAGUUAGUUGAAGAUCGAUAAAUGAAGUAUCCACCCUGCAAACCGCGGAUCACAGAAUUUAAUCUGACAGUAAAAAGGUAGGUAGCUAUAUAUUAUUUUUAUAAUCAGUCUGUAAGAUUUUAUUUUUACGUCAUUUUAUUUUGCUUUUCACUUUAUUUGGUUAAUCUUUUAAUAGCUUUUAUUUUCAAUAGCAAAUAAAUGUGACAUUUUUAUUUAAUAAAGGGUUACUCCAACCAAAAUCCAGUGUUUUCAUAAAGUACUGGUUUAGUUUGGAGUAAUCCUUUAUGUGGUUGUCUGCAACUGCCCCAAACGCCCCAAAAAAUAAAAAAUAAAUCUAUAAACUUAACCUUUUUCCUUCACCUUGGGUAAAUUUUUUCUCAGCCCAAUCUUCCUCGACUGAUAUCACUGGAGCGGCAUGGGAGGUGGACAUCAUGCCAUUGGCUGUCUGGCGCCAGCAUGGUGUACGUACUGCCAUCAGACCCCCCAUUUUGCACAGAAUUGAUAUUAACGAGCCCAAUUCUCUUGUUCUCAGGUGGCUAAUGACACCCCAUAUGUAGGUGCAGCGUUUUAAAGCAUUUUCAACUCUACACUUACAGACUCCAGGCACCAUGACCACUUUAAAUCACUGCAAUGGUCAUGGUAGUUGGAGUAACCCAUUAAAGCAGAGUUCUCCAGCUCUCUGCAUAGUAUCAUAUUAUGCUAUUAUUAAAACGUUAUGUUUGUCUUAUCCUUGGGUAAAACAGAGCCUGUCUGACACCCAUCCGGCUCUGUAAUGUAAGUCAGGAAUGUAGGUGGUGACACAUUUUUAUAAAAGAGCAGUAUUUAAGGUCUUUUUACCUCCUGUUAUUAAUUUACUAUUAUUGUAUAUAUGGCUAUUUUAAUAUUUUUUCUCUUUAUUCUACUUAUAUGUGUCGACCUUUAACAAAACUUUGACGUUUUCCUGUUCUCUCUGACAUUUUAAAUACAUGACAUCAUAUUUACGUUGCACUUUCAGUGUUAAAAAAUGUAUCAUUAAACACAAGGGUUUGUUUAUACUUUAUUUAUCUCUUUACAGUUAAUUCAAGUAUGAACCCCAGUACCGAUCAUCGAUACUAAUCUAAUCCCGAAUGAUUCAGCUAAAAUGGACGUAUUACAGGUUACAGAUUUCUCUAAGUCUGACUUUUGUCUCAGCUACUGGUUUCCGACCGUUGUCUUCCUAUCAGCGUCUAUCACUUUGUGGAUACUUAUCAACAUUGUGACUCUCGCAGCAACAGAGUAUAAACUGUCUGAUUCUAUACUAUUAUACUUCCUUCUAACAACUUUAAAAAAAAAAAAAAAAAGGAUUUAAAAAAAAUAUUUCGUUUAUAAAGUGCAGAAUGUUAUCCACAGAACCCCAGUCCACCUUGCAUACAGGAAAUAACAGGUGCCUUGACACGUCUGUUUUCAGUAUGCUACGGACGCGCGGGAUAUGACAAAUUUCAUGUGCUUAUAUAAGUCACCGGAAAGGAUUACUGUUGCAUUCUUCGAAGCACCUUCCGUUGAACCUUUAUUUUUCGCAUUCUAUUGUGAUGUAUC